rnacentral:rRNA from 1 species
AACGUAGGUGGCGAGCGUUAUCCGGAUUCAUUGGGCGUAAAGAGCUUGUAGGCGGCGUCAUAAGUUGGACGUGAAAACUCCGGGCUUAACUUGGAGAGGCCGUUCAAUACUGUGAGGCUAGAGGGUGUCAGAGGGAAGUAGAAUUCCUGGUGUAGCAGUGAAAUGCGUAGAUAUCAGGAGGAAUACCCGUGGCGAAGGCGGCUUCCUGGGGCACCACUGACGCUGAGACGCGAAAGCGUGGGGAGCAAACAGG